AGGAUGACCAAAGAUGGCUCUCCAUGGCAUGCCACAGUCACUCAAUAGGGCUGUCUAUUCCUGAGGAGAAGACGUA
ensembl:snoRNA